GAGCGGGACCUUCGGAUUCAGCGGCGGACGGGUGAGUACACCUGGGCAACUGCCUGUAAGACUGGGAUAACACCGGGAAACCGGUGCUAAUACCGGAUAAUCCUUUUCCUCUCAUGAGGGAAAGCUGAAAGACGGUGUAAGCUGUCACUUACAGAUGGGCCCGCGGCGCAUUAGCUAGUUGGUGAGGUAACGGCUCACCAAGGCGACGAUGCGUAGCCGACCUGAGAGGGUGAUCGGCCACACUGGGACUGAGACACGGCCCAGACUCCUACGGGAGGCAGCAGUAGGGAAUCUUCCGCAAUGGACGAAAGUCUGACGGAGCAACGCCGCGUGAGCGAUGAAGGCCUUCGGGUCGUAAAGCUCUGUUGUUAGGGAAGAACAAGUAUCGGAGUAACUGCCGGUACCUUGACGGUACCUAACCAGAAAGCCACGGCUAACUACGUGUCAGCAGCCGCGGUAAU
rnacentral:rRNA from 1 species